AUCGUCUGCGGCGGUCAAGGUUCUUCCCUUCCGGUUGAUCCGGAAGGGAAGCUAAGAGGGAAUCCGGUGCCUCUCCAAUGAGGGAAAGCCGGAGCUGACCCGCAACUGUAAGCGGCGAGCCGCUUUGCCGAUUUUCGUCACUGGCCUUUCGGGGCCGGGAAGACGGGCGAAGCAGCCGAGACCCGCGAGCCAGGAGACCUGCCUGACCUCAUAGGGUUCC
rnacentral:ncRNA from 2 species